rnacentral:lncRNA from 1 species
CAGUUGAAGCCAAGCCAACUGCUGGAUGGAGCUGAGAGGCUUUUGGUUUCUGGUUGAGGUGGAGAGAGAAGCUAGUUGUAUCUCUGGGACUUGAGUUUAUCAAGUUGGAGGGGACCUUUGGCUUGGAUAUUGGACUUGUUUCUUUUUCUUUGGACUGCUCCUGAGACCCUUGGGACCUUCACUUUUUGAACUUCUUCCUGGAUCCUGUGUUGGCUUGCUGGGUGAAUCUUUUGUGGAGGAUUCCCCAUCCGCUAAGAGACUGGAGACCUUGCACUAGUUCUUGUGAUCUAAUUGCACACGUGUAGCAGUCAAACUGUCCAUCAUCUGCCUCAUUCUUCCUGAAUAACCAGCCUACCUUCUUU